CGAAAGGGUCGGGAAACUUCUGAACCACCUCCCGUGAUAGGGAUCGGGUCCUGGAACCAACCCCGUGAACGAGGAAUUCCCGGUAGGCGCGGGUCAUCAGCCCGCGUCGAUCACGUCCCUGCCCUUUGUACACACCGCCCGUCGCUACUACCGAUCGAACGGUCCGGUGAGGUCCUCGGAUCUGGCCGACGAGUUCGCUUAGGCGCGGCGGCAUUCCGCGCCGUCGUCGGCGCGUUCUCUGAUGGCCCGGAGAAGACGACCGAACCCGAUCGCUUAGAGGAAGUAAAAGUCGUAACAAGGUUAGAUGUUGAUACAUCUAAAUAUACCUC
rnacentral:ncRNA from 1 species